AUGGCCCACGUUGUCCUCAACUUCAACGCGUUCCUAGAGAAAACCAAGCUGAAAGAUGAUGGCAGUAACUAUACGGACUGUGUCCGGAACCUGAGGAUCAUCCUCAUAGCUGCCAAGAAAGAUUAUGUCUUAGAAGCAUCGCUAGGUGAAGCACCAAUCCCAGAGAACCAAGACGUUAUGAACGCUUGGCAAUCUCGUGCUGAUGAUUAUUCCCUCGUUCAGUGCGGCAUGCUUUACAGCUUAGAACCGGGUCUCCAAAAGCGUUUUGAGAAACAUGGAGCAUAUGAGAUGUUCGAGGAGCUGAAAAUGGUUUUCCAAGCUCAUGCCCGGGUCGAGAGAUAUGAAGUCUCCGACAAGUUCUUCAGCUGUAAAAUGGAGGAGAAUAGUUCUGUUAGUGAGCACAUACUCAGAAUGUAUGGGUUGCACAACCGCUUGUCUCAGCUGGGAGUUAAUCUCCCGGAUGACGCGGUCAUUGACAGAAUCCUUCAGUCGCUUCCACCAAGCUACAAGAGCUUUGUGAUGAACUUCAAUAUGCAAGGGAUGGAAAAGACCAUUCCUGAGGUAUAUUCAAUGCUGAAAUCAGCGGAGGUGGAGAUCAGAAAAGAACAUCAAGUGUUGAUGGUGAAUAAAACCACUAAGUUCAAGAAGGGCAAGGGUAAGAAGAACUUCAAGAAGGACGGCAAGGGAGUUGCCGCGCCCGGUAAGCCAGUAACUCGGAAGAAGCCAAGGAAUGGACCCAAGCCUGAGACUGAGUGCUUUUAUUGCAAGGGAAGUGGUCAUUGGAAGCGGAACUGCCCCAAAUACUUAGCGGACAAGAAGGCCGGCAACACCAAAGGUAUAUGUGAUAUACAUGUAAUUGAUGUGUACCUUACCAGUACUCGUAGUAGCUCCUGGGUAUUUGAUACCGGUGCGGUUGCUCAUAUUUGUAACUCAAAACAGGAACUGCGGAAUAAACGGAGACUGGCAAAGGACGAGGUGACGAUGCGCGUCGGGAAUGGUUCUGUAACACCCCGCAUGUAA
rnacentral:rRNA from 1 species